CGGGACGGGUGAGUAAUGUCUGGGAAACUGCCUGAUGGAGGGGGAUAACUACUGGAAACGGUAGCUAAUACCGCAUAACGUCGCAAGACCAAAGAGGGGGACCUUCGGGCCUCUUGCCAUCGGAUGUGCCCAGAUGGGAUUAGCUAGUAGGUGGGGUAACGGCUCACCUAGGCGACGAUCCCUAGCUGGUCUGAGAGGAUGACCAGCCACACUGGAACUGAGACACGGCCCAG
rnacentral:rRNA from 1 species